UACAGAGGGGGCAAGCGUUGUUCGGAAUUACUGGGCGUAAAGGGCGCGUAGGCGGCCUGUUAAGUCGAACGUGAAAUCCCCGGGCUCAACCCGGGAACUGCGUCCGAUACUGGCAGGCUUGAAUCCGGGAGAGGGAUGCGGAAUUCCAGGUGUAGCGGUGAAAUGCGUAGAUAUCAGGAGGAACACCGGUGGUGUAGACGGCUUUCUGGACCGUAACUGACGCUGAGACACGAAAGCGUGGGUAGCAAACAGG
rnacentral:rRNA from 1 species